rnacentral:rRNA from 1 species
GUGUCAGCCGCCGCGGUAAGACGUAGGGGGCGAGCGUUACCCGGAUUCACUGGGCGUAAAGGGCGUCUAGGCGGUUCGGCAAGUCGCCUGUGAAAGCCCCUGGCUCAACUGGGGGAGGCCGGGCGAUACUGCCGGGCUAGAGGGCGGCAGAGGAAGGUGGAACGGCCAGAGUAGCGGUGAAAUGCGUAGAUACUGGCCGGUACCCCGAUGGCGAAGGCAACCUUCUGGGCCGUCCCUGACGCUGAAGCGCGAAAGCGUGGGGAGCGAACCGGAUUAGAUACCCGGGUAGUCCACGCCCUAAACGAUGUGGGCUAGGUGUCGGCCCGUCACUGGGUCGGUGCCGCAGCUAACGCGUUAAGCCCACCGCCUGGGGAGUACGGCCGCAAGGCUGAAACUCAAAGGAAUUGACGGGG